rnacentral:rRNA from 1 species
UAAUUCGAAGCAACGCGCAGAACCUUACCAGCCUUUGACAUGCCUCGGACGGUUACCAGAGAUGGUUUCUUCUCUUCGGAGCCGGGGACACAGGUGCUGCAUGGCUGUCGUCAGCUCGUGUCGUGAGAUGUUGGGUUAAGUCCCGCAACGAGCGCAACCCACGCCCUUAGUUGCCAUCAUUAAGUUGGGCACUCUAGGGGGACUGCCGGUGAUAAGCCGAGAGGAAGGUGUGGAUGACGUCAAGUCCUCAUGGCCCUUACGGGCUGGGCUACACACGUGCUACAAUGGCGGUGACAAUGGGACGCGAAAGGGUGACCUUUAGCAAAUCUCAAAAAGCCGUCUCAGUUCGGAUUGUACUCUGCAACUCGAGUACAUGAAGGUGGAAUCGCUAGUAAUCGUAGAUCAGAACGCUACGGUGAAUACGUUCCCGGGCCUUGUACACACCGCCCGUCACACCAUGGGAGUUGGUUCUACCCGAAGG